GGGCGGUUAGCUCAGUUGGCUAGAGCGCCACGUUGACAUCGUGGAGGUCACAAGUUCAAGUCUUGUACCGCCCACCA
rnacentral:tRNA from 2 species